UGUUGGCCACAGGUGAACAGGCACUAUUCUGUUGAGAAUUAACAUAGGCUGAUUAUUAUUUUCCUAAUUCCAGCUUUGUUAGUCUUGUAGUUAGUAAAAAAGUUUUUCCAUGAUGUUGGCAGAGUUGUUAGUUUUAAUGUGAGGUUUUCUUUGCCUUUAGGGGAGUUGGGAGUGAAUACAUCAGAGUGUGCUAGGCAGAAGACAUUUGAAAUGGAGUUACUUGAGUUUUCAAACAUUCACAUCCUUUAUCUCAUAUGAGAAUAUAAGGGGAUGGGGGCUCCUUUUUAAACUGAAGCUUUAAAAGACAGUAGCUAGAAUUUAUGCUGAAGUGGAGUAACAGGCUUUGGAGCUGAGCAGUGUCCUAAUGCAGGGAAAUUUGGAAGAACUUGAGCAGCAUUCACUUUGCACAAAUUGCAGGAUAUCAGAAACAACGGGGCAUCUGUAUUCCUUUUACAAUCCACCUUCCAGUGGGAUGAUAAACUCAAGGACCAAACAAUCACAGUGGGUUCCUAAAUUCUGAUAAGGUUUCUGUGAGUUUAGUGAUACGUUCUUUAAAUGUAAUUUGAAGCUUUUAAAAUAUUGUAAUGGCAGCUCUUGACCUUUAAAAAUCACAUGGAGCAAGAGGUGGUGAAAAAUGUUUAUUUACUCUGCAUUAGUGGCUAACCUCCUGUUUCUUCCUAGAACCAGUAGUUCUUUUAUACUCGGGAACUCACGCAUGUCACCUCCAUUCUUCCAACACGAACCAGACAGGCCCACUUGAGCUGGAGAAACAAUGGCCUGAGCCAGUCCUAUGCCUCAGUGCGAAACAACAAUGCAGAACUCUUGACGAAUUCUGGCGUCGAGAGUGGAAUACUGCAGUUCAACAUGUCUGCUGAACAGAAGUUGGAAAAAGAAAAGAUCAUCUUGUAAACAAUUAAUUAAUGUUUGUCAUGAAUUAUCAUUUUUACUUCCUUCUCAAGAGGCUCAAAGGGAAUAAAAAAGCAUUUUUGCAGGUGGUGGCAUUCAAACUAAGGGCAAUCAAAGGUUUGAGAGCUGAGGCACAGCACUCUGAGUCUCUAAGGGUGAAUGGUGCUAGGAUUAGAGCACAGCAGGGGGUUGAGGGCUUCAGGUGUGAAGCUUAAUGUUUGUGAUCAGCAAAAAAAGUCUUGAAUUUAUCUAAACUGCUCUUCUGCUAACAGUACUUCUAGCACAUAAAUGUUCUGAAACUGACAAGUGUUCUCAUUGCUCUUCUAAUGCAAACAUGAUCUGCAUUUGAAAGAUGCAUCCCUUUUGCCUAAUUUAGAAUGUGCAUCACAAAGAGCGUUAGAUGAUGACCCCACAAAGAGAUACACACACACACACACACACACACACACACACACACACACACACACACACACACACACACCCAUGCAUGCAAACUGUCUCUUUCUGGCCUGGAUCUUCUCUGAAGCUUGCAGCAAGGAUCCUGCAGGAUUGUUUUUCUCUAAAUUCCUAAAUCAGAGGUUGAGAACUAGGGCCUCAAUAGCCAUCUGACCAGCGGAUUCUUCUGAUCUUCUACAUGAAUAAUUCCUUUUAAUUUAGUUUGGAUAAUUGUCUAGAAUUUAUCAUGCUGCAUUUUUCAUUUGCAAUCUUCCCUCUGCUUCUUCAGCCUCGACUUCUAUCAGUAGCAAGAUAUUGAAGAGUAUCCAAUAUAUGUAAAAAUUUUAAACACAUACCAUCAAUAUUAAAAUUUUCUGAGGAAUUAUGACUCAUGUUUGCAACCCCUAGAACCAAUGGCAGGCAUUGUUGAUAGUAGUUGCUAAAGUCCAUAUAAAUACAUCUGAUAGUUUAAUGAAUCCUCUCCAUAAUCAAGAGCUGAACUCUAAUUAAAUACUCCUUUUCUUUCUCUAUCAUCAAUAGAGGUCACCUACUGGGAGAGCUCUAAAAGGAAACACUAAGUUAAAGGUUAUGAGUUAUCACUUCAUGAAAAUGAGUCAUAGGCAAAACUUAGAAGGACCAAGAUGAAUCUCAGCCUUGAGUUACUUUUUAAUCCAACCUUCCCAAAUUCUCCCCUAUCCUGUAGUACCCAUUCAUUUUCUUUUCUGCACUCACAUUUCCUCUUCCCUUUAGUAUUCACUUGACAUCAUGCAAUAAACACAGGUUCUUGGGGCACAAAGCCUGGAGGCCCCGAGGGAUCCAUGAUGACAAAGGAAACGUAGGCACAAACUUGCCUCCUUUUGCCUUGACUCUUUUGAAGCUAGUAAGUUGAGUGGGUCCUCUGAGGUUUAUGGUCACCAUCCUAGACCAUGUCGUGAGGUUUUCCCUUGAAUCCAAGCAUGUAGUACAAACACGUGGCUUAAACUUAGGAAAAAGCCCCCAGAAGCUAGAGAAGAGUUUGGGUAAAAUGGGACAAACUAGAAUAUUAUCAGGUCAGGGACAUGAAAGGAGACUUAAAAAAUUUAGAAGAGGAAAGGAUCUGGGAGGAAACAAGCCGAGCAGAACCCCUGAGAUGGAACAGACAGAAAAAAACUCCUUUCAUAAAUUCCUGGAGGCUCCAGUUUGUUAACAUCUAAAAGUGGAUAAAAGGACUUACCAGAAAAAAUAACUUAGUUUCUUAAAACUACUAAAACUCUUCAAACCUAGACAUCUACUUUAGUAUUUUCUUUGCUUCCCCAUUUUUUGUUAAGAUGUUAAAAUCCUUUUUUUGUAAAGAUGUUAAAAGCCAAAUGCCAACUGCUGUAGAAUUAUGUAGAAAAAAAUGCAGUGAAAAGAAAGUAGCAAUGGAUGUGAUGAAACUGAAAAAAGUGGAGUUCGUGACACCCUAUACCCAAAGGUACGCUCCAGACUUACAGCAGGUACACUGGUGUUGUUUUUAAGUCCCAGGAUUCUGGACCUUGGUUAGGGUGUGUGGCUCUGCCUGGUGGUCUACCCUCUUCCACAUUGUUCUCUGAACCUGCCUAGUCUUCCCUUGCUCCCUUGCUGAACAAUGCUCUGCAUGUGGCAUUGUAUCCAGGACAGGUCAUAGGUUUGGGGGAAAGGAAAUUCACCUUUCUUCCCUGCCAUGUGCUGCUCUUAAUUAAUUCUUACUUCUUUGGAUGGUUAAGCUAGCACCCACUGGGGCUUGAGGGGAGUGGGCUGAAAAUGUUCCAAAUGAGUGAAAAAUUGAAAGCCUAUGUGGCUUUUAUUGGUAUUGGAUCAACUGGUCUAGAUUGAACUGGAAACGUUUUACUGUAGGGUGAAUUUUACAAAAUUAUAAACAUUUAGCUUUAAAAUAAAUACAUUGAUUAAUCCAGUCAUUACAAAUAUGUGCAAAGAUGGUAUCAGCCUGGUACACUCCCCCUACCAGGAAAGACACAGAUUGAAACAUAGAUGGCAAUGGUUUUCACAUUCUUUUUCUAAAUGUAAACAAUUAGAAUCCCCCAAGUGUUUAGCUGCAAGUUGCAUUAACCCAAAGCAAUAAGGAAGCGUUUCAAGGAGUAAAUCCAAAUAGUUUUAAGGAGUAUUACUUAGAAAUACUUCUUUCUUCUACAGCAGAAAACUGAAUUUUGGUGGUGGGAGUGGGGGGAGUCCUCCUAUAAAUUGCCAAUGAACGCCUCCCCCAACCACCCAAGAAAGAGUUGAUGAUGAAAAUUGAAAAUUGUGACCACUUGAA